GCAAGUCGACCGAUGUAGCUCCAGCUUGCUGGGGUGGAUUAGUGGCGAACGGGUGAGUAACACGUGAGUAACCUGCCCUUGACUCUGGGAUAAGCCUUGGAAACGGGGUCUAAUACCGGAUAGGAGCAUUCACCGCAUGGGGGGUGUUGGAAAGAAUUGCGGUCUUGGAGGGACUCGCGGCCCAUCAGCUAGUUGGUGGGGUAAUGGCUCACCAAGGCGACGACGGGUAGCCGGCCUGAGAGGGUGACC
rnacentral:rRNA from 1 species